CAGCCGCCGCGGGAAUACGUAGGUGGCAAGCGUUGUCCGGAAUUAUUGGGCGUAAAGCGCGCGCAGGCGGAUCAGUCAGUCUGUCAUAAAAGUUCGGGGCUCAACCCCGCGAUGGGAUGGAAACUGCUGAUCUAGAGUAUCGGAGAGGAAAGUGGAACUCCUAGUGUAGCGGUGAAAUGCGUAGAUAUUAGGAAGAACACCAGUGGCGAAGGCGACUUUCUGGACGAAAACUGACGCUGAGGCGCGAAAGCCAGGGGAGCGAACGGGAUUAGAUACCCGUGUAGUCCCUGUCUCUUAUACA
rnacentral:rRNA from 1 species